rnacentral:rRNA from 1 species
GACGAACGUUGGCGGCGUGCUUAAUACAUGCAAGUCAACUGAAGCAGUGGUAGCAAUCUCGCUGUGGAGGUGGCGCACGGGUGAGUAACACGUAGGUAAUCUGCCUUCAGGUCUGGCAUAACUCCGGGAAACCGGGGCUAAUAGCAGAUGAUGCAGCGGCUCGACAUCGAGACAGUUGUUAAAGCUAUGGCGCCUGAAGAUGAGCCUGCGUCUGAUUAGCUAGUUGGCGGGGUAACGGCCCACCAAGGCAACGAUCAGUAGCUGGUCUGAGAGGAUGAUCAGCCACACUGGAACUGAGACACGGUCCAGACUCCUACGGGAGGCAGCAGUAAGGAAUAUUGCUCAAUGGGAGAAAUCCUGAAGCAGCAACGCCGCGGGAGGGACGAAGGGCUUUUGCUUGUAAACCUCUGUAGUGAGAGAAAAAAAUCCCAAUCUUUGGGACAUGAUGGUAUCUCAAAAGUAAGCCCCGGCUAACUACGUG